rnacentral:rRNA from 1 species
GAUGAACGCUGGCGGCAUGCCUAAUACAUGCAAGUCGUACGCAAUCACUUUAUUCGCUCGCAGCCGUGGAAUUUCCACAAUUGCGAGCGGAAUAUAUGAGUGAUUGAGUGGCGGACGGGUGAGUAACACGUUGGUACCUGCCCCAAAGUGGGGAAUAACUGCCCGAAAGGGUAGCUAAUACCCCAUAGUCUUAUGCUAGUCAUAAGUAAAGCUUCGGCGCUUUGGGAGGGGCCUGCGUCUGAUUAGCUAGUUGGUUGAGGUAAUGGCUCACCAAGGCGACGAUCAGUAGCUGGAUCGAGAGGUUGACCAGCCACACUGGGACUGAGAUACGGCCAGACUCCUACGGGAGGCAGCAGUCGAGAAUAGUCUACAAUGGUCGGAAGACUGAUAGUGCGACGCCGCGUGAACGAUGAAUCCCUUCGGGGUGUAAAGUUCUUUUAUAUGUGAGCAGUGCUUCUUAUAUUAACAGUAUGGGGAG